GUUGACACAUGGCCAUAUGUUGGAGAAAAGGAAUGAAGACAAGCAGAAAUCACAAGAAAAAAGCCAGCCUGCUGAACAUGGAACAAUGUGGUGCUCAGCCUCUGGAUUUCUUUGACAGUUGCAGAAACUUUUGGGAGGACGUAAUUUCCCCUUGACUUUCCCACCAAGAUUCUUCAGCUAAGGACUUAACAUUCAUCAGUCUAAGAGCAUCUCCAAAUAACAGUUAAUUAUCCUACCCAACAUCCUACCAGGUUGGUAAGUAUUCUGCCAUUUUACAGAUAAAGAUAAUUAUAAAAAUACAAAAAUUUCGGACUGGCAAUCAUUAACAAUUGCAUAAAGAAAAUUAUUCCUCCACUUGUGUGUGGUAAAGCACAUGUAUAGAAUUUAUGGACUGCUGUGUUACUCAGACCAGCAGCAAUGGGUACCUCUACAGGAGAACAUACCAGGUGAUAUCUAGUCAUCAAACUCAGCUUACAUCACUCAGAGUAGAUGGCAACAUGCCUGUGUCCCACACAGAAAUGUCACCGCUGGCUUCAGUAAAUUGACAAGAUCAUAUUCAUAUAUUUAUAGUUUGGGGGUGACUUCUUCAUGCAUGUAAACAGGGAUGUUUUGCUUUCAAAUCAGGUAUAAUGUUACCUUAAAGCAUGAUCUGGAAACUGUGAAAACCUAGAGCCAUGAGUAGCUUAACAACAUCUUCAUCUAAUAGAAAUUAACCCAAUUUUAUGACAGCAUGGACAAUGGAGGAAAUACAGUCUUACUCAGCACUCUAUGAUUAAAAUGAUUGACUGAAAUAGACACUUAGAAGCCUUGUUAUGGAAUAUAUUAAUCUUGACAACCAUAGCAGAAGAGCAGUUGUUGUGCACUGAAAGAAGUUGCUACAAGUCAUUCAGCCCUUGGCUCAUGUCCAGUAACACUUCCAAGAUGGGACAUCUUGACUAUUUUAACAUGAAUGCUUGAGAAACACUUGGAUGCUUUGGGAAUGAGGGUAGGUGAUGAUUUAUAUAGGAAUGGUCAAUAAACACCUUCUACCCAUCAAGAGCAUGUGAAGCUUGUGCAAUGAUCUUCAAACUUCUGACCCAGGAUAACCCAUGUAAUUUGUCCACCCCGUUUUGAGUGUUGUAAGAACAGCUGCAUGGCCUUAU